CACCCGAUGGCACAUGGUGUGCGCCUGCCUUUCCUGAUUGCCUGCACAAGCAUGUGUAGGCAGGAGGCCCCCGUUCGAUUCGGGGUCGGGUGA